ACACACACACACACACACACACACACACACACACACACACACACACACACACACGUAAAACUGAAUCUCUGUGCCGAUUCUUUACCAUCUGAGCCACACACACACACACACACGUAAAACUGAAUCUCUGUGCUUUAUACCUGAAAUAAACAUGACAUCAUAACUCAACUUCAGGUGUUGUUUAAAAAUGGGAUUUCUCUGGCAGUCCAAUGACUAGGACGGCGCGAUUCCAAUGCAGGUCCUGCAGGUUUGAUCCCUGAUCUGGGAACUCGGGUCCCACGUGCACACAGAGUGGCCAAAAUAUUUAAAAAAAGAAAGAAGUUGAAAGAACUUUUUCCCCCAGCAAUAUGACUGAUAAGGACCCAUUGAAAACUACUUAAAUUUCCAAAAUACCUAUCAAGAACCAUUUUUUAAAAAUAUUGGUUAGCUGCAAAAUAAUUAAGAAUUUUCAAAAGCUAAAUAAUUUGGCCACAUAAAAUUAAGUUAGAAAUCAAUAAAGAAAGAUCCUUCAAUAUCCCAAAUAUCUGGCAGUGAAAUGACUCACAAGGGAAAGAACAAAUCUAAAGAGAAGUUAGAAUGUAAUUUGAAAUGAAUUUUUAAAAAACUAGAAUUUGUGGGUUCUUGCUAAAGCAGUAGUUAGAGGGUAACUUGUAGCUUUAAAUGUCUGUAUUAGAAAGGAAAGGAGGUUUCAGAUCAGUGACCUCAGUUCCCACUUUAAGAAGCAUUGAAACGAGAGUAAAGUAAGUCCAAAGUAAGCAGAAGAAAAGGAAUAAUAAAGGUCAAACUGGCAACCAGUGAAAUGAAAGAGAAAGAUUAAUGCAGAAGCUUGUUCUCUGGGAAAAUCAGUAAAAUUGAUAAAUCUCCAGCCAGAUUAGUGAGGAGAAAAAACCAGGUACCUAUAUAAGGAGUGAGCGAGGCAACAUCACUGAAGAUUCUGUAGAUAGUAAAUUAAUAGGGAGUAUUAGGAACACCUUUGAACUAAUUUAAGAACAUAGGUGAAACUGAUCAAUUUCUUGAAAGACACAAAUUACCACAGCUCACCCAAGAAGAAAUAGGCAAAGCCUUUCUAUAACCCCUGUGACUUCAGUGGUGAGUUUCAGCAAACAUUUGAAGAAAUAAUACCAGUUCUACACAAAUUCCACCACGCAUUCUAUGGGGUCAGCAUUACCCUGGUUUCAAACUUAGCUACGUAUCCUGGCCAGGCAAAAAGCUGCAAAACAAAUAUUCUUUAUGAACAUAGGUGCAAAAACUUGGAGCAAAAGUUUAGUGAAUUAAAACCUGUGAUAUGAUAAAAAAAAAUGUAAUAUGUCAUGGUCAUGGGGUUUAUACCAGGAAUGCAGGGUUCAUUAAACAUUCACAUAAUCGUUGGAAUCAGUACUAGAAAGGUAUUUGAUAAAAUCCGCUGUCGCAGAGUUGGACAUGACUAAGCGACUAACACUUUUCACUUUCACACAAUCUACUUCUGGUAAAAAAAAAAAUCUGGCAAACUAGAAAUAAAAGGACUUUCCCCAAUAUCAGGGAGAAAUUGGGGAUGUCUUUUAAUCAUUGUAUUGGAGAUUCUAGACUGCAGCCAGACAAGAAACAGAAUUAAGAACAUGCAAAUUGGAAAAAAAAAUUGUUUUCUUUUUCACAGAUGACAUUAUCAUUUAUGUAGAAAAUUCAAUGAAAUUUAUAAAAAGGUAUUAGAACUAAUAAGUGAGUGUAUCGAGGCUGCAGGAUGUAAAGUAAUGAGCAAAGAUCAAUUAUAUUUCUAUAUGUUAGCAAUGAACAGUUGGAAAGGGAAAUGAAAAACAUUUACAAAUAGCAUAAAAAAAUAAGGUAGUUUGGAAUAAAAAAUGUGAAAGACCAGUUGUUGCAACCCCAUGGACUGACUGUAAGCCCACCAGGCUCCUCCGUCCAUGGGAUUCCUCAGACGAGAAUGCUGGAGGGGGUAGCCUUUUCCUUUUCAGGGGAUCUUCCCGACCCAGGGACUGAACACACGUCUCCUUCGCUAGCAGGCAGAUUCUUCACCUCUGAGUCACCAGGGAAGCCCUAGACGUAGAACUAUCAAAGACCUAAGGGAACAGGGCUAUGUUAUACCUUGUUCAUGGUCAGAAGACUCAAUAUUGUUCAGCUGUCAUUCCAAAAUACAGAUUCACCGUAGAUUCAGUACAACCCCAGCAGGCUACUCCGUGUCUGUGUGUAAACUGACAAGCUGAUUUUAAAAUUUUUGCAGAAUUGCAGAGGACCUAGAAUAGCCUCCAGGGCUGGUUUAGAACUUGACAGUACAACACCCCAAUCUUUCUCCCUCAACGUGGUCUUCACCACCAGUCCAAGCAGGAAGUCAGGAGGUGGUGGUCUUCAGUGAGUCCCAUUGUGAUCUAUAGGGAAGCCUGCUGUCAGAAAGGAAGUCUUGUAAUAAGGAACUUAGUUUAAGAGGUGCCAGUUACUGGUGGGGGCUUCCCAGAUGGUGCAGUGGUAAAGAAUCUGCCUGCCAACAUGGGAGACUCCGGAGAUCCCCUGGAGCUGGAAAUGGCAACCCACUCCAAUUUCUUGCCUGGGAAAUCCUGUGGACAGAGGAGCCAGGUGGACUAUGGUCCAUGGGGUCACAGUCAGACACGACUGAGCGCACACGCAUGUAGUUAACACUGGAAAUAAGAUUUAUUGCUGUUAAUUCGUUGGAAUAAUUUGUGAUUGACUAGUUUUUCCAAACUGUAUCUGCUGGUUAAUACCAUUUUCAACUGUUUUCCAUGUAAAGUUAAAUAUUUGGUAUAAAAGGGAUUUUAAAAGGCUGAGUGGAGGAAUUUAUGUCAAUCAGAAAACAGACUUAUAGAUCUUU